rnacentral:tRNA from 1 species
AGUUCCAUAGUGUAGUGGUUAUCACGUUCGCCUAACACGCGAAAGGUCCCCGUUUCAAGCCCGGGUGGAACUA